UUUUUAUGGAGAGUUUGAUCCUGGCUCAGGACGAACGCUGGCUGCGUGCUUAACACAUGCAAGUCGAACGCUGAAGCCCCAGCUUGCUGGGGUGGAUGAGUGGCGAACGGGUGAGUAACACGUGAGUAACCUGCCCCCGACUUCGGGAUAAGCCCGGGAAACUGGGUCUAAUACCGAAUAUGACUCCAACUCGCAUGAGUUGGAGUGGAAAGUUUUUUCGGUUGGGGAUGGGCUCGCGGCCUAUCAGUUUGUUGGUGAGGUAAUGGCUCACCAAGACGACGACGGGUAGCCGGCCUGAGAGGGCGACCGGCCACACUGGGACUGAGACACG
rnacentral:rRNA from 1 species